UGAGGAAUAUUGGUCAAUGGGCGCGAGCCUGAACCAGCCAAGUCGCGUGAGGGAUGACGGUCCUACGGAUUGUAAACCUCUUUUGCCGGGGGAGCAAGCGUGCGUUCGUGAACGCACGUCGAGAGUACCCGGAGAAAAAGCAUCGGCUAACUCCGUGCC
rnacentral:rRNA from 1 species